GAAAGACUAUUAUCCUUUUAUUGUCAAAUUAAUUAUUUACUUUUUUAAAUGACAUGAAAUUUAAAUGGGAUCUGUAUUUAUUUUAUUUUUAAAAAAUGGGCCCUAUAUUCUUCGCAAAGGAAUAAUUAUUGGCCCAUUGGGCCAGGAUUUGGGAGCGUAUAGGAAAUUAGUUUUCAGAAACUGCUCCCGCUCUUCCUUCAUUUAAACAUAAUAACAGUCUUCAAUUUUCCAACAUUACUGAAAGAAAAAGGAUCUAAAUCAGAAAGGUUCAUUCAAUUCUCAAGACAUCUGAACCUCAAUUUAAUUCUAAUUUUUCGUUGCAAUGGAAAUUCAUCCCACUCCGUUUCCAGUUAGAUCCCAAACUGUGAAACCAAGAUCUACAAGGAAAAUCUCCGAACCCCCGAGAAUCAAUGAGAAGGGCGGAUCGCUCAUUCACAGGGAGAAGCGAGUGUUUGGAACUGCCCGAAACCCAAACAUUCCUUUGAAGACGAAGACGGUGCUCGAGAAGCCGGCCAAGGCCAAACCCGCAUCAGGGCUGCUAAAGAAGCCUUCAAAAGUAACAAAGCCAUCCCAAGCAACUCGAUCACCAAUCCUUGGGCGGCCAAUUUUUGGGGCCGGGAAGCUGCCUGACAAGACCCCGGCUAGGCCGAAGAAGAAAACCGUAUGUUUUCAAGAAAAGGGAGUCGGGAAGAAACGGAAAGAAUUCGGAUGAUGGGAAUGCCGCUGAGCCUCACACUCCUCUGUAUGCGGUUAUAGCCAAGCCACGAGUUGUGACGCCUUAUCACAGCGCGGAGAAAUGCAGCAAAUGCAGGUUCGACAAGCUUGAGUCUGCGUCUUACUGGCUGUCUCAGAUAAAAUUGGCGGAGUCUGUUGGGAAACAUUCGGUCUCUGCUGCUUUCUUUGCACUGGCUUUCGACUGCAAUGCAGAGCCCAUUCGUAACUUGAGAGUUGAACUAAAGAAGUAUUUGGGACGACACGAGCACGUGAGUGAUGAACAAGAGUGGAGGAAGAUGUCGGUUAGCUAUGGACUCGUACAAGAAGAAAGCCGUGAAAAUGGGGAGGUUAUAGCAGGCGGUCGUGGAAGAAGCGAAUGCAAAAGUGUCUGCAACCACAAAGAUGAUGAUUUGCCAAACCAAAUUGUUGAAGAAGAUAAAAACUUAUCCUUUUUCGAAAUCUGAGAGAUUUUAGGGCUGUGAAACUUGCAUUGUGAAUUGUGGUAUAGGAGUAGUUCAUGUAUUGUUUUGAAAUUGGUUUUCUGGUUUUGAAUUUGUGAGAGAACAAGUAGAUAGUUUUCGGUUUGUAGGCUAAGCUCGUUGUUAAGUUGAAAUGAUUAUUGUUAUAAAUUAUAUAGUAAAGUAGAUCUUUUGAUUGUUGA